rnacentral:rRNA from 1 species
GACGAGGGGUCCUAGCGUUGUUCGGAAUCACUGGGCGUAAAGCGCAUGUAGGUGGCUUAGUAAGACAGAUGUGAAAGCCCUGGGCUCAACCCAGGAAGUGCAUUUGAUACUGCUGAGCUUGAGUAUGGGAGAGGGUAGUGGAAUUCCUGGUGUAGUGGUGAAAUACGUAGAUAUCAGGAGGAACACCGGUGGCGAAGGCGGCUACCUGGCCCAAUACUGACACUGAGAUGCGAAAGCGUGGGGAUCAAACAGG